GAGAGAGAGAGAGAGAGAGAGAGAGGAAAAAGGAAAGAAAGGAGAUGAAAACAGGGAGGAAGUUUGAGGGAAGAAGAAGGAUAGUUAGAGAAGGGAGAAAUAGAAAGAGAGAGAUGGAGAAAUAUACGUUGGCUAGGGAAAGGGGUGCUUUUGUUAGAGGGAGAAAGAAAUAGUGCUAGUGUACGAGAAGGGAAUCGGAUGGAACACGAAGCAUAGGAGGAGAUUUUGGUGGGGUCGAUAGUAGUUGCUCGAAUUGUCGAGAAUGCUGUUCGUAUAUAAGAAAGUGGAUAGCUAAGUAUUUACUCAAAAUAUCAAGAUAUACGUAUAUGUGUGCGUACGCGUGUGUGUGGGUGUUUUGUUUCAUUCCUUAGCUGCUGUCACAUGUUAUUGGUAAUGUUUAAAGAAUGCUGAUGUAUAAUUAUUCGGACUUAGUUACACAUUUUUUCUCUAUCUUAAUAAAUGCAUAAGUAGUACAUAUAUAUAUACACAUAUAUAUAUAUAUAUAUAUGAUCCAUUCCUCUAUAUGUAAAUCGUGGAAUAUUCCUUAGUAAUUCCGCAAAGGAAAAAAACAUUUGAUUCGAAUUUAAUCUAAUCCGCAUUCUACUCUGCAAAUCUAACCGCACAGUUUCAACGAACUACGACGAUGACUACGAUGACGACUACGACAACCAUGAACGUACAUCCCGAUGAGUCGGCUUAUCCGUUUUCGCGCGUCACUUCUAUACUUAGAUCUUAUACGUUUAUAAAACAGGGUACGACGAUGAGCGAGAGUCUUGUACAGGUGCUAUGAAUUGAGAAUGUCAUCAGCGACAGACUUCGGCACGCGUCAGAGUGUCUUUUCGAGUAAUGACAGUAUGACGAUUUACGCAAUCAAAAGUUUCUAAUGUUAAUAGUUAAAACGGGACAUGAGACUAAAUGUAUACACUUAGAUACAUAUCGGUCGAUUGCAAAAUAUUUAGCUAAACGUCAUUGAUUAGUCUUUACAAAUGAAUUCACAUAUAGAUACUUAUACAAUAGCAAUGAAAAUAUUUUUUCAUGAUAACAAUAGGAUUUCGUUAAAUCUCUAUUAUUAAAUUUUUUUUGCGUGAAUUAACGAAGAAGUGUAUAUUAAUUUCUCUGCAGUCGUUAAUCGCAUGAAAAAUGAAAUUAUUCACAAUCGUGUUAAUUAGUUUUAUAUAAAAGUAUUGUUCCAGUAUCAAGAUAAAUAUAUCUAAGAUUUUAUCAAUGUUGAUUAUUUGUACGUAAACACGAAUAGAGAUUGAAAUCAUAUUUACGAUAACGUUCUCGUUUAACGAAAUAAACAUGGCGCAAACGAGAAAAGAAUCGAAAUAAAAGGGUAAAACCAAGGAAAGGCGUCCACGUAUGUAACUUACAUUGAUAAUUUAUAUGUAUGCAUACAUACAUACAUACAUACAUAGAUACUUAGAUGCUUACGUAAGCAGGUAUGUACGUAGAUAAGAAAACACGUUUAUUCGAGAAACGACGUGUUUGAAGUUAGCUUACUCGGCAAGAGUACGAAUCGAAUGAGAUUCGCAUUACGUUUUCUUUUUUAUUUUUCUCUUUUUGUUCUUCUUCUCUUCUUUUUUUUUUAAGAGAGAGAGAGAGAGAGAGAGAGAGAGAGAGGAAGAAAGAGAGAGAAAACAACGAGAAUCAUUUCGAACAUUUUCGAAGACGAAACACACGUCGUAAUAUUUAAUCAUUGCCGUAGUUACGAUACUCGCAAUCGUGGGUCAGAAUUGCGGAAGUGAUUAUCGACGGCCGCGAAAAAAAGCAUGACGGUGGAACGAUCUGCGUUCAAGGUUCUCGCAAGUGCAUGUGUAUUCCUGUUGAAGAACUUCCCGACACUUUAGCCUAUAGCGAGUGUUAUUAUAUAACCUAUUGACCUUUAUCGCGUUCGCGUUAGAAUAUUUACUGUGAUGAUAAGCGAGAGAGGUAAAUCGUUUUACACAGUGUGCGAGAAAUAUAGAAAUAUUGAAGAAAUAUUACAUAUUGAUGAAUUCCUAAAUGAUAGGUUACAACUUAGCUUUCAUAAAUAUAUAUAUAUAUAUAUAUUUUUUUUUUCUUUUUAUAUCGUGAUGUUUGAUUACUUCGCAAAGAGCUAAUUCAUUGUCGAGUAUAUUCCACAUCACAUCGGUGAUAUAAGAAAAUUUUAAUGAAUCAUUAAGCUUCAAUAAAAAAAAAAAAAGAAAAAGGAAUGUAUAAAUAUUUAAUCAAAUGCGUUGCCUUUUGAAUAUACACCUACGUACAAAUCUAUUAAAGUUUUACAUGUACUACUAAUUGAUGUUUUGAUAUACGUAUCGAAAGAAGUCCUACGUUCAUUUGGACAAUCAAUUAAAAGAAAAGCAAUGAAGAUAACUGGCUUCGAUCAUAAAGCUAUUAAUCGAUCGUUAACACUAGACGAACUUUCGAUUCCUUUUCUUUCAACGCUUUAUUCGAUUGGUAGAUAAGGGAUGAAAGGUGUGGUUAAGAGAUUAAGGCGGUGGCGGUUUCCUGGCGAAUUCGAGAAAUAGGCCGUGAUGGUAGCGUGCACGAGCGCGCGCGCAUACACACACACACACACAUACAUUUUGCUGCCAACGGCAGUAACAGUAACAGCAGCAGUAGCAGCAGCAGCAGCAGCAGCAGCAGCAGCAGCAGCAGCAGCAGCAGCUAGCAGGAGGUAGGUCGAUCCAAUUGGGGUUCGGAUAGCAGCUCAGCAGCGCGAUACCCUCUCCCCUCUGGAGUUUCCGCGGCGAUCAAUACCUACGGUGCCAAAGCCGAGCCAGUCUCUACCGAUUUCCACGAGGAACAAACAAAACGAAGAGAAGGAGGAGGAGGAGGAAGAAGAAAAAGAAAAUGAAAAAGAAAAAAAAGAACGAAAGAUCCGAUGAAGAAAUAAUUGAUCGAUUCGCAUGUUUAAUCCAAAACAUUUAUUAUCGUAAUAAUUUACGAUGUAUUAAUCUUAAUCGAAAAUUAAAACAGUCUUUCUUUUUCUUUUUCCGGCUUUUCAAUGUCAUAGUUAUUAUAAAUCAAAACAAUUCGAUCAAAAUCAUGAAUUGGCAAUUGUGUGCGUGGGUGCGUGCAUCUGUCUGUGUGUUAAUGGUGAUAAUAAAAACGGUGUUAAAAGGCAUAAAGAAAAUCGAAUACACUUGGUUUCCGUCGAUACACGUUGGUUUUUCCCCUAAGCAACCGGAUCCACGCGUCUCCGUCUUGCGCACGCGUUGCGACAGCGCGUAAUUACGUCACGCGAUCGAACCUUCGUCGCUACGCGGGUUUACAUGUUUGAAAUCCCGCUAAGAAAAGAGAAGAAGAAAAGGAAGAUGGAAUAUAAGUACCUACUUAUAUAUCUAUGUAUGUAUGUAACGAAAGAGAGUGGCUUUCACAAUAAUCUUUCUUUUACUUCUGUAUCAUAGACGCAACACACCUAAGUAUCUUCUCUCGCCUACGCGUAUUUAAAAGCACUUAACAUUUCGAUUAGGCCAUAGGCAUGAUUUCGAAAAUAGUACGUCGCAUAAAUUAAUCUCCGAAUACAUAAAGUCGAAACAUCUGUUUUGUUUUAAGAUUCAAGAUGGUGGCGUAGGGAAAGAUUUCUCUUUCUUCCUUUUUUUUGUUUUAUUUAUUUUUUCUUUUUUUUUUUUUUUCUUCUUUUUUUCCUACAUAGACAACUCGAUCGAUUUAGAACCAACAAUAAGUCCAACUAGCUAGUUAGAAGAUCGAACGUGGAUUCUGUUAACGACGUCGCCGAAGUAAGAAAAUAGGUGUAUGGCCUACUCGCGAAUAGUUAGAAACAACGCGCUUAGGAACCACGAGAGAGCAUAGAUAUGCUUGAGAGGAGAGAGAAAGAGAGAGAGACAUAUAUACAUAAGCUUGGAGUGUUAGAGCAGACCCGUAGAGGGGAAGGAACAAAGAAAGAGUCCUAGCGACCAGCAAUGCGGCACCGGUGAGCGCCUGCGCGCCUCGCUAUGUGAGUCAAGGACGACACGUGCAGCUCGGAACGACCUACUUAUAUUCCCGUAGCUUCGCGCACAAUCGGUGUCGGCACGAACUUUCCCGAGCGCGGAAAUAGGACGACCGACGGAGGAGUCGGUGGAGUCCUAAUAUUUCACCGCGAUCACCUCCGCCUCCACCUUUCGCCUUUACCUCAUUCUCCUCCUCCUCCCCCUCCUCCUCCUCCUCCUCCUCCUCCUUCUCCUCUUCGUCGGGUUCUAAAAAACUAACCCAUAGCAGCAAGCGUUGGCAUUCAAUCUUAGUAGUACACUACAAUGUACUGAUCGUUACCUCGUAGUUUUACGUUCUUGUGAAUCAGGAAGUAGUUGAAGAGGAAGUACUUCCGGUCUUUCGUGAAUCUCUUUCGGGCAAGUUCGCUAUCCUUCGUUGUCUAUCUUCUCUCUCUCUUUCUCUCUCUCUCUCUCUCUCUCUCUCUCUCUCUCUCUCUCUCUCUCUGUACGAUCGAGAUCUACGUUACGUAAGUUAGAAUGUUAGAAGAAAAAAAAGAUAAGAAAAGAAAAGAAAAGAAAAACGUCCGCUCGUUAGAUUCUCGUAGGAGCUUCGAUUCGCGUCAUCAGAGACACGAUAAGAGGGAGAAACGGUUGUAGAGAGAUAGGAGGGAGUAGAGGGCGGGGAUGAGGGCAGAGGAGGGGGAGAGAGUUAAAACUGAAAGAAAAAGCAGGACAGGCGUGGGGUUGGCUAGAAUAGAGAGAAUAGAGAAGAGGCAUAUAGGAAUCGUGAUGGGGAGGGGGAGGGCGGCGGGCGGGUGGAGGGUGGGGAGGAUUCGAAAGAGAGGUUUCGACGGCAGGAGGCAUCGCGCGCAGUGUCCUAGAUGCAGAAACGGCAGGAUCGAUAGAAAAAUGGGUCAAACAUUCGAGUAGCAUUCGGUUGACGAGAACCAACGGCAGUCUGGCGAUCGCGCUCGAGACGAUCGCUCUGCUCCGUUAAAAUUCACUCUCUCUGUCUCUCUCUCUCUCUCUCCCUCACUCUCUUUCUAUAUCUCUCUAUCUCUGUCUCUACAUGACGGAUACAGGUGACCGUUGUAGGACGUUGAAACGAGUUCGUGUCGUUUGGAAUUGAAUUAAAUCUCUCGUUCGAAUAAAUUCCGUCGGAAGAAGAAGGAAAAGAUAAGGGAAAAAGAAAAGAAGAAAAUAAAAAAAAAAAAAAGAAAUAAAAAAAAUCGCAAAAUUCGCCGGCGUUUGUUACAAGGUGGGAGGGGGGGUCUAACUAAACUAGAAAGGUUUUAAGUCUUUGUGGAUUGGCGCGCUCGAGGCGACGUUGUUGGAUUGUCGCGCGUCGUUUACGCGCUUCCUUCCCCACCAUGAGAGCAUAAGUAGCGCGUUUCCGCACGCGGUACGGCCAGUUCUCGUUCGACCUUAUCGCCGCGAGCUCGGCACGGGCUUCUUGUUUCUCCUCCUUGGCGGGUUGCUGCCCCACCCUACGGUUUUAUAGUCCCACCCCCUCUCUUUUCUCUCUCUCUCAUUUCCCCGUUCCUCCCUCUUGCUCGGCUCUACCUCCCCACCCUCAUAUAUUCAGUCUCCCCCUUUUCCCCCGCCAUUCUGCCUUUCAUCUCUCCCACCUACGGUGACACUCGAAGGAAGCGCGCGUGCUCGUCGCGCGCGCCCAGCUCGACCAAUCGCGAAGCGAGUAGCAACGGUCCUCGACCAACGAAACUCGACCGCGGAUCCGUGCGAGUGCGCGCUUGCGAUCUCGUAGUUUCUCUCACCGGAUGCCGCGAGCGCGCGCUCAUUGUGGUGGGGAUAAAGCUGAGAGAGCGGCACGGGCUUCGCGCUCGAGCGCAUCCUCGUUCGUCGUCGCUCGCCCUCGGGGUCGGUCGCGUUCCGCGAGACUCUCUCUCUCUCUUCCCCCUUUUCCCUCUUUCCCUAUUUCCCUUUUAUAUUAUCUAUCCUUUCGUUAUUCCUUAUUUCAUUCCUUUCUUAUCUUCCAUUUUUUCCUUUCUACUUAACGUAGUUUUACCUUCUACGUUCAUUUCUACGUUCGAUUCUACAUUCGUUCAUUCGUUUGUUCGUUCGUACGCUCGCUCGUACGCUCGCUCGAUCGCUUGAUCGCUCGCUCGCUUGCUCGCUCGCUCGCUCGCUCGCUUGUUCGUUCGUUCGUUCGUUCGUUCGUUCGUUCGUUCGUUCGUUCGUUCGACGUCCGAUAACGUCGACGGCCAUCAUGGUGUGUCCAAUUCAGUUCGCGACAAUUCUUCAUUGCUUUCACCUUUCGGAAAAGCUCCUUCCUCCUCCUCUUCUUCUUCUUCAUCAUCAUUAUCAUAUCAUCGUCGUAGUCAUCAUCAUCAUCGUCAUUGUUCUCUUUUAUAUUCCUUUAUAUUUCAAUAAUUUUCGAUACGUUUCUUUUACUGUGUCGCCCGCAGCUAAAACAACAACGACGAUGACGAUGACGACGACGACGACGACGUGACCGGAAGCUCGCAACAACUUCGACUCGUUCGACCUCUUCUUCUCUCGAUCCGUGCGAGAACGGCGAUUAAUUCUCACUCGUGUUUUAUCUUCUUUUUCUUCAAGAAAAAACAAAGAGAGAGAGAGAGAGAGAGAAAAAAAAAUAUAAUUAACUUCCGCAUUCUGAAGAAUCCGUUACUGUUAAACGCGUCCGGGAUUUCUCGUCAUCUCGAGAGAUAUCGAAAGUGGGUCACCGGUUCUUCUUCCGCUUUCGCACGCUUUCGUUCUUUCGUCGAUCGAGUUGUUGUUCGAUUUAAUAUUUAUUUUUUUCUCAUUCUUUUUCGUGUUCUUUUUUCUUUGGUUUUCUUUCGUUUCUUUUUUCUCUUUUUUUUUCUUUUUUUUUCUUUUUUUUUUUUGCCAUCCCCUUUUUUUCGUUCUUUUAAUUUAUACGCGAAAAGAAGAGAAGAGAUACGACCGUACGUGUGAAAAAGUGAGUACGAGUUGAAAGUUUCUAUCGUGCGAGAAGAGACGAAUGUAAAUAAUAGUAAUAAAUAAAAAAUAAUCAUAAAAAUUAUAAUUAUCAUAAUAAUAAUAAUAAUAAUAAUAAUAAUAAUAAUAAUAAUAAUAAUAAUAAUAAUAAUCGUAAUAAUAAUAAAAGGGAAGGUAUCGAAAGGGGAAGAGACAGUUGCAAGAGGAGAAAAGCGGUUUGCACGCGAGGGGUUCGAGACCCUUUGUGUGAACGAAAAAAAGAUUGAAGAAGAAGAAGAAGAAGUAGAAGAGAAAGAAAAAGAAGAAGGAGCAAGUGAAAGGAAGAGAGAAGAAAAAUAAAAGGGUGGAAGGAGAAGUAAAGGGGGAAAAAUAAAAGUACCAGAAAGAAAGAAGGAAGGAAAGAAAGAAAGAAAGAAAGAAAGAAAGAAAGAAAGAAAGAAAGAAAGGGAAACCAUCGACAAUCCCACGUCGUGGUAACUUCGUGUCCGUGCCUUCUGGUCUCUUAGUGGGUAAAGAUGGCGGUCUUGUCGCUCGUUGGUUCGUUCGCCGAGUUGUAAGAGGGGAAAAUGUGACGCAACCCAUCAUCACGUGAUCGAACCGUGGCUGGCCUCUCUCGCUGGGCCAGUGUGUGAUCUAACGUUUGUUACGACGGUCGGUCGUGGAUCGAUCAUAUCGACCAUAAUACAUAAUAAGUAUAUUAUAUGAAGAACGAGAACAACUCUAGUAAGAUAAUGGUGGUUGGGAGUGCGAAAUAAUGGAAAGAAAGAAAGGAAGGAAUGAAGACACGGAGACUGGUCAACAUUAUCUGUCUUUCUCUGUUCCACAAGUCGAUGCCGCGAGACAUAACGGACGUCUUCUUAAUCCGCGUACGGACACACGCACGCACACGUACACACAGGGGGUGUUCUUCCAACCGUCGGCUCUCGGUCGCUGGGUCAGUGGGGGUGAGAAACUGGCUUGGCUCUGCGUAACGACAGUCAGUCUUUUUCUCUCUCCUAUCGGCCUCGCGAAUUAGCUCUCUCUUUCUCUUUCUUUCUUUCUACUCGUUUAUCUAUCUGUCUAUCUUAUUUUCAUAUCCAUCUAUCUAUUUAUCUGUCUAUCAUUCUAUCUAUCUAUCUACCUACCUAUCUCUCUCUUUCUCUCUCUCUCUCUCUCUCUCUCCGUCACUCCAAAGAAAUAACUCUCUUCGGAGCCAACGUAAGAAAGAAUCUUAAAAAUUGGAAAAUUGGUGAUCGUUUUUUAUUCCCAAAGAUACGGACAACAGUUGUUGUAGGUGUUCUCGGACUCAGCAGUGAGAGCCGUGUUCCCCCAGCUGUAACGUGCUUUGUUUUAGUGGCUCUGGGAUCAUGGAAGACACUGCGCGAGUACCGAACGUUCUGCGAUAUAUUGUACAAAUAUUUUAUCCUUCUAAGAUCAUGGACUCUUGCUAGUUUCCUCGAUGAUUAACAAAAGAUCAAAAACGAAAAAGAAAGAAAGGAAGAUUUUUGAGGAUCGUCAUAAAUACUUCGUCGUUAAUGUUACGUGCCUCAUGAAGUAGGACGUUUCAUCGAUUAGAUUUCUCCUAAUCGUUCUUUAUGUCAUGCAAUCGAAAUUUCAUAUGUGUGAUAUGAGAAACUGAAAAUGUAAAUAUAUCCAUACUCAUCGUGAGCAAACGUAUACGUGAUUAAAUCAAAGUCCAAAACGUUUGGAAAUGUUUGGUGUCGUUGGCAAUAUUGCACCUGCCACACGAAAUAUUGCCGAUGGCUCGAAACAACGGCACGGCAACAGCAUCGAGCAAGAACGGACCGCUUUUGCUGGUAUUAUAAUCGCCGUUGCAAGAUUCCCGACUAAACCGCCGUUCACCUCGACCAUUUUAUACUUUCUAAAGCCGCUUACUUUCGUAACUUGGCAAAUACCGUGGUGGCCUCGUUGUAUCUACCAUUGCCGAGUUCUACACAGUUAGCAUUUAUAUGUGUGUCCAAGUUGAAGUUUUUUUUCCCUUACUCUAUACUAGCGUACAGUAAUGCAUAAUUAACAUGCGUAAUACAUACGUAUACGAAGAAUUUGUUUUCCUUUUUUUCAUUUGUCGUUUCUUUUUUCUAUUUGUUUAAACGUUUUUUUCUACUUUUUUCUUCUUCUUUUUUUUUUUUUUUUUUUUUUUUUUUUUUUUUUUUUUUUUCUUUUUUUUUUUUUUUAAGGAAAAUCUAACGUUGCAUCGUUAUUAAUUUUUUUCCUCGAACGAUAGAUCAUCUGCGCUUAUUCAUAUCUCUUGCGCAAUGACUAUUGCGCUGUUGUAAUAUCACUUAACAAAGUACAUACGUUUCAAGAAUUCAUUUCAUCGAGAUAAUUGCAAUUAAAACGAUGAUUGUCAGAGAGAAGAGGAGGAGGAGAAAAAAAAAAGAAGAAGAAGAUAUAUGUAUCUACGUAAUUUUGUACAAUUCCAAGAAUAAUAGCGGUAGUUUAUAAUCGAUGACAUAGCAAACGUUUCUAAGAUAAUAACGAUCAUAUAAAAGUUACUUUAUAUAAAAGUAUUAAAUGAUAAAAGAAUAGAUAACGAUUAAAGUGGCGGGUAACUUUAUCUUAAUAGAAAAGGAGAGAGAGAGAGAAAGAUGAGAGGCUAACAGGACUAUGGAGGUAAGUUUGGAAAGUUACGGUUCGUCGUGAGUAAAAAAAAAUCAAACGAGCGGAGAGAAAGAUAGAAGUGUGUUAUGUAUCUACGUGCAUAUACAUGAGAAAUAGAGAGAGAGAGAGAGAGAGAGAGAGAGAGAGAGAGAGGUGUAUA